GCAAGUCGAGCGAGCAGAACCAGCAGAUUUACUUCGGUAAUGACGCUGGGGACGCGAGCGGCGGAUGGGUGAGUAACACGUGGGGAACCUGCCCCAUAGUCUAGGAUACCACUUGGAAACAGGUGCUAAUACCGGAUAAUAAAGCAGAUCGCAUGAUCAGCUUAUAAAAGGCGGCGUAAGCUGUCGCUAUGGGAUGGCCCCGCGGUGCAUUAGCUAGUUGGUAAGGUAACGGCUUACCAAGGCAAUGAUGCAUAGCCGAGUUGAGAGACUGAACGGCCACAUUGGGACUGAGACACGGCCCAAACUCCUACGGGAGGCAGCAGUAGGGAAUCUUCCACAAUGGACGCAAGUCUGAUGGAGCAACGCCGCGUGAGUGAAGAAGGUUUUCGGAUCGUAAAGCUCUGUUGUUGGUGAAGAAGGAUAGAGGUAGUAACUGGCCUUUAUUUGACGGUAAUCAACCAGAAAGUCACGGCUAACUACGUGCCAGCAGCCGCGGUAAUACGUAGGUGGCAAGCGUUGUCCGGAUUUAUUGGGCGUAAAGCGAGCGCAGGCGGAAGAAUAAGUCUGAUGUGAAAGCCCUCGGCUUAACCGAGGAAUUGCAUCGGAAACUGUUUUUCUUGAGUGCAGAAGAGGAGAGUGGAACUCCAUGUGUAGCGGUGGAAUGCGUAGAUAUAUGGAAGAACACCAGUGGCGAAGGCGGCUCUCUGGUCUGCAACUGACGCUGAGGCUCGAAAGCAUGGGUAGCGAACAGGAUUAGAUACC
rnacentral:rRNA from 1 species